GUCCAAGAAGUCUCAUUCAGCACACAUCGCGAUACUUGCCAUCAGUUUACAAGAGCCGCAGGUUGGGUGAGUUAUACAGUCUAUGCUGAAAAGACAUAAAGGAAUCAGUCACCCCAGUCGUGUUUGUGGAGAGGUAUUCCUUCAGAAAUGGAGAAGACAGAAAGCUGCAGAGGCAGGAUUGUUUGCAGAUAAUGCUGUUCUUCUUUUUCAGAAGUUUUUGGUGAGCCAACUCUCACAAACCUUCCUAAAAACUAAAAGAGCUAUUACUGAGUCUCGGCUAAUCUUGCCAUGGUCAGCUCUUCCCAGAAGAGAAGGAAGACCAAGGAAAUUAUUUGCUCAGGAUGAGAAAUGAAGAUGGCCAUCUUGUGCUCAAACAAACAGAAGUCCUCUGAUGAUCUCAUCAGCCAAAUGAGGGGUUUUGAACAAGUGAUGCUCUUGAAAGGAGUGAAAGAAGAGGAUGUGGUAAAUUGUCUUAAAGCAGCUUGAAGAAUGGUCUGGGAUGUUAGGACUGAGAGAUCCUCUGACUGAGAGAAGCUACACCACAUCAGUGCUGGAUAUCAACCACAAACUGUUUCCAGACACGAGAGAAGAAGAUCAUGAUGGGGAGAUGAAACCAGUUUAGAUGUGAUGAUAAGGAAUCAUUAUUUUCUGAAACAGGAUCAAAUGUCUUAUAUGUAUCACAUGAUCUGUAUCACAGUUGACUGGAUGGGACUGUGUGACUCUUAAGGACAUUUCAUCACUCAUCUGUGUGAACUGAUUAAUAUAUGAGGUUAAUGUAUUUUUGAUUAUGAAUAAUUAUUUUCCUUGAAUCUUAUUUGUCUUGAUGCUACUUUAUCAUCUGUAUAGUCUAUGCUUCAAUAAAAUGAAAAUUGUGAA